GUGCUUGUUUCUACAGCAUAUAUACAAAAAUUGGAGCCAAGCAGAGAUUAGCAUGAACCCUGCCAAGGAUGACACACAAAUUUGUGAAGCAUUCCCUACUUUU
ensembl:snRNA U6 U6 spliceosomal RNA